UUUAGUCAUAUUCAGCAAUAAAAUAGUUAACUUUAUUGUCGACUUGAUUCGAUGUGCAUAAUAUGAAGAUGAGCAAUGAAAUUUAAUAAAAUAUAUACACAGUGUCUCAUAAUUCAUAAUGAAAAUGUGAUCAUAAAAUAUUUCUUAACUGAUACAAAUAUUGACUCGACUGUUCUCACGUCAUUGAAAAAAUGAAAAAAAUAAAAAAGCAGGAAAACUCGAGAGAAAUUUCUCGAUCAUAUAUAAUACGAAGAAAAAAAAAAUUUCACAUAGAUGUCGAUCUUACGUAAAACAUGGAUACAAAUCUAUUCCUCGAUGCAAAGGAUAGUUUAAUGUCACUAUUUCCAUCUUCGACGUGAAAGCAUUUGGAUGAGACAAAUUUAUGAAACGUCAGACAUGAUCAUUGUACACGGGGCCAAUGAAAUUCCAACGGGUUGCAUAAGGAUUUCCUGGAUGGAAGAUCACUGGUGAAAGCUGAGACAACGUCCUCAUUAUGACCUUUUAACGUUAUAUUGGAUUACUUUUAUGAUAAUUACUACCAUUUGUAUAUGGUAUGGUGUUUGUAGUACGGGAUACAAAGGAUAAUGGUAGCGGAAAAGGAUAAUAGUAGUGUUUCGAUAUGCAAGAUAUUCGAAAUUAUAUGGAGUACGGCGUGGGACAUCUAAUUUGCAUGUCUUA